CUGGCUCAGGAUGAACGCUAGCGGCAGGCUUAACACAUGCAAGUCAGGGGCAGCGCGGUUGUAGCAAUACAACUGGCGGCGACCAGCGAAAGGGUGCGUAACGCGUGAGCGACAUGCCCGUCACCGGGGUAUAACCGAUGGAAACGUCGACUAAUCCCCCAUAACAUCAGAGGAGGCAUCUUCUUGGUUGAAAUUCACGGAGGUGACGGAUUGGCUCGCGUCUGAUUAGCUAGUCGGCGGGUAACGGCCCACCGAGGCUACGAUCAGUAGGGGUUCUGAGAGGAAGGUCCCCCACAAUGGAACUGAGACACGGUCCAUACUCCUACGGGAGGCAGCAGUGAGGAAUAUUGGUCAAUGGGCGGAAGCCUGAACCAGCCAUGCCGCGUGCAGGACGACGGCCCUAUGGGGUUGUAAACUGCUUUUGCUGCGGAGCAAUAAGGGCCUCGAGCAGGUCCGAUGAGAGUACGCAGCGAAUAAGCAUCGGCUAACUCCGUGCCAGCAGCAGC
rnacentral:rRNA from 1 species